UACGGAGGGUGCAAGCGUUAAUCGGACUUAUUGGGCGUAAAGAGCCAGUAGGUGGUUAAGUCAGUCAGAUGUGAAAGCCCCGGGCUCAACCCGGGAACUGCAUUUGAUACUGCUUAACUAGAGUACAGCAGAGGGUGGAGGAAUUUCCGGUGUAGCGGUGAAAUGCGUAGAGAUCGGAAGGAACACUAGUGGCGAAGGCGUCCACCUGGGCUGAUACUGACACUGAAUGGCGAAAGCGUGGGUAGCAAACAGG
rnacentral:rRNA from 1 species